rnacentral:rRNA from 1 species
GACGAACGCUGGCGGCGUGCUUAACACAUGCAAGUCGAACGGAAAGGCCCUGCUUUUGGUGGGUGCUCGAGUGGCGAACGGGUGAGUAACACGUGAGUAACCUGCCCUUGACUUUGGGAUAACUUCAGGAAACUGGGGCUCAUACCGGAUAGGAGCUCCUGCUGCAUGGUGGGGGUUGGAAAGUUUCGGCGGUUGGGGAUGGACUCGCGGCUUAUCAGCUUGUUGGUGGGGUAGUGGCUUACCAAGGCUUUGACGGGUAGCCGGCCUGAGAGGGUGACCGGCCACAUUGGGACUGAGAUACGGCCCAGACUCCUACGGGAGGCAGAAGUGGGGAAUAUUGCACAAUGGGCGGAAGCCUGAUGCAGCAACGCCGCGUGCGGGAUGACGGCCUUCGGGUUGUAAACCGCUUUCGCCUGUGACGAAGCGUGAGUGACGGUAAUGGGUAAAGAAGCACCGGCUAACUACGUG